AAAAAACAAAAUAAAAAAAAUCGUGCUAGGAAAAAAAAGAAAAAUGUAAGGAAAAAAUAAAAAAUAAAAUAAAAUAAAUGUAAAAGAAAGAAGAGAAAAAUAGAAGGGCAUCCAAGGGGUGUUAGGUGGCAUCUACGGUGCUCUUUGACUAAAAUAUAAUAUUAAAAAAUAAAAUAAAAUACAAUGUGAAAGAAAGAAAAGAGAAAAAUGGAAGGAAAAAAGAUAAAAUAAAAAUAAAAUAAAUUGUAAAAGAAAAAAAAGG
rnacentral:lncRNA from 1 species